UAUAAAUCAAAUAUAUUAAAUAAUAUUUUAUUGUAAAUUAGUAUUUGGAUAAUAUAUUACCUAAAGUCUAAAGUACGUAUAUUUUAAAACAACAUAAUAGCUUCUUCAAAAAGAGAAAAAGAAUGCAAGCCCAUUUUCUAAGUGUUCAAAAUCAAACAACACUAAAAGAACCAGUCAGAAUGAGCUGGCCCUUCUCUAAAAGCCAUGGAACAUAAAUUACUUUAACAUAUUGUGCAAAGGCAUUGUCCUGCACUAGCUCCCAUAGUCUACCUUAGAGAGAAGCUUCUGCUCAGUCAUACAUUACAGAAGAAGAAGUGUUCCAUAGCUGCUGGUUGUUAGCAGUUUAUUGUGCACUGAGAAGAACGCUGGGAGCGGCUCGGACAGUCCCUCAGCAGUCCCGGCGAAGUUACGGGAAGGGCCUCUGGGAUAGCUGUUUACUGCGCACAGGAUGAAUAAAUCAAGAAUGGUAAAAGCCAGGAGACACCAGGCAAAGUCCCCUGAAAUCACUGCGGGGACACUGCCAGAACCCAGGCGGGGCACUGGGCAGAAGAGGGCAGUGGGCCAUUUUGAAAGGAAGAAAAGGACAACUGGGGGCAGAGGCUGGGACAAAGUCUGCACAGCAGAGGAGCAGAUGACAUGGAAGAUUCUACAGCUGCUCACGGCAGCUGCUCUAAUAGUCGCCUCUGCUUCAGAGUAGAGGCAAAUGUGCUUAGAAAUGAAAGGCAAGAGGGGAGAGGAAAAAUGUACCUUCCAUUUCUAACCAACUGGAGCAUAAUCUUCACAAAGCUCAGCCAGUUCUCAUGAGGUGGUUAUUUUUAGGAUUCAAAUAUAGGCAACAUACUAACCAGCAAACCCUAUGUGCUCCUUAGCUGCAAGCACAAGUGGGUACACCCAAAUUACUGAGAGGACGUCACAAUCUCUAAGGACAAACUUGUAGUUGGAGCCUUGAACAUUAGAAAUGGUAGCAAUUUAGUAAUAUGAUAGUUUAUGGCCUUGCCCAACUGUUUCUGAACUCAUAAAAUGCUUUGUUACAUGUAAGCUUAACUUUCAUAGGCUUUAGGCCACAUAAUGGCUUUAAGCCACUAUUUCUUGUUUUAAAUUCAGUACCAAUAAGGGUAGCUGAUCUCUCUAUGCUGAGAUGAUUUCCAAGAACUCUGGACCCUACUGAACUCUGUACUGUUCUAAGGACUCGCCCUGGUUGACUGGAAAUCCUAUCCUGAGGAAAUAAAUACAUAGCUGAGGACAGGGAGGACAGGGGCAGGCCAACCCCAUCCACCUCACGUUUUCUUCAGGAUCCACAGACAUCCUAAACCAUAGAGUUUUCACCUCCUUGAUAGCAGAGAGCAUUUAUGAUCAGAAAAAGAUGUUCUUCAAAAAUGUCAGGGACUGGGGCUGGCCCCGUGGCCGAGUGGUUAAGUUCGCGCGCUCCACUGCAGGCGGCCCAGUGUUUCGCUGGUUCGAAUCCUGGGCGCGGACAUGGUACUGCUCAUCAAACCACGCUGAGGCGGCGUCCCACGUGCCACAACUAGAAGGACCCACAACAAAGAAUGUACAACUAUGUACCGGGGGGCAUUGGGGAGAAAAAGGAAAAAAUAAAAUCUUUAAAAAAAAAAAAAUGUCAGGGACUGAGAGAAGUCACAAAAGGGCGAGGAAGAGAGUUAACAGUAACUGCAUAGUUACUGGGCUGUUUUAUAGAUUAAAAAAUAAAACAGGCUCAUAAAAUUUAGUAAUUUGUCUGAAGUCAUAUAGGAGGGUCAGAAGUCAAAUAAAGACAUGUGAGACUCCAAAACUUCUUUCUACUACCACAAGACGGCAUGGGGGUCUCAGGAUUCUGUAGAGCUCUUACCUCUGAAGGUUUAUAAAAUGCAGACAGACAAUGUGUAUUUCAUUGAUUAAAAACAGCUGAAGCCAUUUCUCAGGCUCUAUGCCUUGGCAGGGCACUGGCAGUCUCCUCCCCACUCCAGCCAGACACUUAGAACCACUUAAGCUUGCUCCAAGGCCUCCAGCCAGGCUGGAGUCUAUGGAGGCCUGAGGCUAACAGUGGCAUGAUCUCCCAGCUCAAUUAGGCAUGACACAAUUCUGGAAGGGUCAGUGGUCCACAGAGUAUGUUGUUGUAGUCUGAGCAGCCUUAAGGACAACAAGCAUGCUGUGAAAUGCAAAGCACUGAGUUCUGUUAAGACAUGUUCUUAUAAACCUGUUUAGAGAACUGAGAUAAUUUCAAUGAGCAAUUCAACUAACAGAAUAAUAGUGCUCUCAUUAUUUCAUCUUUGUAAAUCCCCCAGUCGCCAGACUGUAAGCAUCUCGAAGGCAGAGGCUCUGUGAACACACUACAAUGACCGGCAAAAAGAGCACCAUGGCAGUGUGUCCUAACCCCAAAUCUAUUCUUCUUUUCACUUUGGGUUUAAACCAGCUGUAAGCUGAGGAACACUGUCCUUUGAGACCCAACUACACUGUCUCAAAUCCUAUUCCUUUGUGCAGUGGGAGCCCUACCUUCCUUCUUAACUGUCUGGGGACUCUGGAAGUGGUGGAGACAGUCUACGAUUUUCUUUCCUAGUCACUUCUGGCUCCAAGAAGUGCUUGCUUCUGUCGACUUAGUUCAGGGGCUGGAAGGAGCACAGUGCUAUCCCUGAGCCCAUCUCCAGACAUGGAACGUUUUUGCUUCAGUAAGACGGGCUGAAGCAGGAAUCAUGCCCACUUAGGAGAAAAAGCAGAAGUGAAGCAUAUGCGUCCUAGGUCUUCAAAUGUUAAUACUUCAUUGUGCAUACUAUUUGCUUUUGAAGGUUUAGAAGAAAAAUACUUGUAUUAAUUAACUCUUUAUUAUGCAGAGAUGAAUGCUACAAAUUUUACUUAGAAUUUUCUUUGCCAUUUUCUAAGUAACCCUGAUUUAUUACUU
rnacentral:lncRNA from 1 species